rnacentral:rRNA from 1 species
GUAGGUGGCAAGCGUUGUCCGGAAUUAUUGGGCGUAAAGCGCGCGCAGGCGGUUCUUUAAGUCUGAUGUGAAAGCCCACGGCUCAACCGUGGAGGGUCAUUGGAAACUGGAGAACUUGAGUACAGAAGAGGAAAGCGGAAUUCCACGUGUAGCGGUGAAAUGCGUAGAGAUGUGGAGGAACACCAGUGGCGAAGGCGGCUUUCUGGUCUGUAACUGACGCUGAGGCGCGAAAGCGUGGGGAGCAAACAGGGAUUAGAUACCCUGGUAGUCCACGCCGUAAACGAUGAGUGCUAAGUGUUAGGGGGGUUUUCCGGCCCCCCUUAGUGCUGCAGCUAACGCAUUAAGCACUCCGCCUGGGGAGUACGGCCGCAAGGCUG